CCCCUCUCAGGGUCGCACCUGGAAAAUUUCCAGUACUCUACCAGUCAUGAAUACAGGAGGGAAAGUCAAGCAGAGGCCCACCUAUUCCAUUCCUAGCUUGGGCAAUGGCUAGUGAGUGGAAGACAAUCUGCUACAAGU